ensembl:snRNA U6 U6 spliceosomal RNA
AUGCUUCAGCAGCAUGUUUGCUAAAAUUGUAGCAAUAUAGAAAAGAUUAGCAUAGCCCCUGUGGCAAGAAUCACAAGCAAAUUCAUAAAGCAUUCCAGUAAAGA